GUCAGCCAAAAAUUGNGACAAUGUUUCAGA
rnacentral:piRNA from 1 species